rnacentral:rRNA from 1 species
AGUGAACGCUGGCGGCAGGCCUAAUACAUGCAAGUCGAACGGCAGCACAGCAGAGCUUGCUCUGUGGGUGGCGAGUGGCGGACGGGUGAGGAAUACAUGGGAAUCUGCCCAGUCGUGGGGGAUAACGUAGGGAAACUUACGCUAAUACCGCAUGCGCCCUUCGGGGGAAAGCCGGGGACCUUCGGGCCUGGCGCGAUUGGAUGAGCCCAUGUCGGAUUAGCUAGUUGGCGGGGUAAUGGCCCACCAAGGCGACGAUCCGUAGCUGGUCUGAGAGGAUGAUCAGCCACACUGGAACUGAGACACGGUCCAGACUCCUACGGGAGCAGCAGUAGGGAAUAUUGGACAAUGGGCGCAAGCCUGAUCCAGCCAUGCCGCGUGAGUGAAGAAGGCCCUCGGGUUGUAAAGCUCUUUUGUCCGGAAAGAAAAGCGCCGGGUUAAUACCCUAGUGUCCUGACGGUACCGGAAGAAUAAGCACCGGCUAACUUCGUGCCAGC